GGGGUUGUGGCUCAGUGGUAGAGCGCUUGCCUAGCAUGUGUGAAACCCUGUGUUUGAGCCUCAGCACCACA
rnacentral:tRNA from 1 species